GAUUAGCUAGUUGGUGGGGUAAAAGCCCACCAAGGCGACGAUCAGUAUCUGGUUUGAGAGGACGAUCAGACACACUGGAACUGAGACACGGUCCAGACUCCUACGGGAGGCAGCAGUGGGGAAUUUUCCGCAAUGGGCGAAAGCCUGACGGAGCAAUACUGCGUGAGGGAUGACGGCCUAUGGGUUGUAAACCUCUUUUUUCAGGGAGGAAAAAAAUGACGUUACCUGAAGAAUAAGCAUCGGCUAACUCCGUGCCAGCAGCCGCGGUAAGACGGGGGAUGCAAGUGUUAUCCGGAAUCACUGGGCGUAAAGCGUCUGUAGGUGGUUUAAUAAGUCAACUGUUAAAUCUUGAGGCUUAACUUCAAAACCGCAGUCGAAACUAUUAGACUAGAGUAUAGUAGGGGUAAAGGGAAUUUCCAGUGGAGCGGUGAAAUGCGUAGAGAUUGGAAAGAACACCGAUGGCGAAGGCACUUUACUGGGCUAUUACUAACACUGAGAGACGAAAGCUAGGGUAGCAAAUGGGAUUAGAUACCCCAGUAGUCCUAGCUGUAAACAAUGGAUACUAGAUGUUGAACAGAUCGACCUGUGCAAUAUCAAAGCUAACGCGUUAAGUAUCCCGCCUGGGAAGUAUGCUCGCAAGAGUGAAACUCAAAGGAAUUGACG
rnacentral:rRNA from 1 species